rnacentral:rRNA from 1 species
GUGAGGAAUAUUGGUCAAUGGGCGAGAGCCUGAACCAGCCAAGUCGCGUGAAGGAUGAAGGUUUUAUGAAUUGUAAACUUCUUUUGCAGGGGAAUAAAGUACGGUACGUGUACCGUUUUGUAUGUACUCUGCGAAUAAGGAUCGGCUAACUCCGUGCCAGCAGCCGCGGUAAUACGGAGGAUCCAAGCGUUAUCCGGAUUUAUUGGGUUUAAAGGGUGCGCAGGCGGGUUGAUAAGUCAGCGGUGAAAGUUUGCAGCUUAACUGUAAAAUUGCCGUUGAAACUGUCGAUCUUGAGUGCAAAUGAGGUAAGCGGAAUGUGUGGUGUAGCGGUGAAAUGCUUAGAUAUAACACAGAACACCGAUUGCGAAGGCAGCUUACUGGGAUGCAACUGACGCUCAUGCACGAAAGCGUGGGGAUCAAACAGGAUUAGAUACCCGAGUAGUCC